rnacentral:rRNA from 1 species
AGAGUUUGAUCCUGGCUCAGGACGAACGCUGGCGGCGUGCCUAAUACAUGCAAGUCGAACGCUUUUUUUUUCACCGGAGCUUGCUCCACCGAAAGAAAAGGAGUGGCGAACGGGUGAGUAACACGUGGGUAACCUGCCCAUCAGAAGGGGAUAACACUUGGAAACAGGUGCUAAUACCGUAUAACAAUAGAAACCGCAUGGUUUCUAUUUGAAAGGCGCUUUUGCGUCACUGAUGGAUGGACCCGCGGUGCAUUAGCUAGUUGGUGAGGUAACGGCUCACCAAGGCAACGAUGCAUAGCCGACCUGAGAGGGUGAUCGGCCACAUUGGGACUGAGACACGGCCCAAACUCCUACGGGAGGCAGCAGUAGGGAAUCUUCGGCAAUGGACGAAAGUCUGACCGAGCAACGCCGCGUGAGUGAAGAAGGUUUUCGGAUCGUAAAACUCUGUUGUUAGAGAAGAACAAGGAUGAGAGUAGAAUGUUCAUCCCUUGACGGUAUCUAACCAGAAAGCCACGGCUAACUACGUGCCAGCAGCCGCGGUAAUACGUAGGUGGCAAGCGUUGUCCGGAUUUAUUGGGCGUAAAGCGAGCGCAGGCGGUUUCUUAAGUCUGAUGUGAAAGCCCCCGGCUCAACCGGGGAGGGUCAUUGGAAACUGGGAGACUUGAGUGCAGAAGAGGAGAGUGGAAUUCCAUGUGUAGCGGUGAAAUGCGUAGAUAUAUGGAGGAACACCAGUGGCGAAGGCGGCUCUCUGGUCUGUAACUGACGCUGAGGCUCGAAAGCGUGGGGAGCAAACAGGAUUAGAUACCCUGGUAGUCCACGCCGUAAACG